rnacentral:rRNA from 1 species
CACGUAGGGCGCAAGCGUUGUCCGGAAUUAUUGGGCGUAAAGAGCUCGUAGGUGGUCUGUUGCGUCCGCUGUGAAAUCUCAGGGCUUAACCCUGAGCCUGCAGUGGAUACGGGCAGACUAGAGGUAGGUAGGGGAGAAUGGAAUUCCUGGUGUAGCGGUGAAAUGCGCAGAUAUCAGGAGGAACACCAAUGGCGAAGGCAGCUCGCUGGGACGGUACUGACACUGAGACGCGAAAGCGUGGGGAGCAAACAG